GUGAAGGUGGGUGCCGUGCAUGGUCGUGAAGAGCUCCGUGUCUACCCACAAAGAAACAAUAUAGAAGCAACGCCUUUUCGCCAUUCGAUGUUAAUGUGGAAGAGUGAACAGUAAAUGGUUAACCUUACUACGACUCUGUCUUCAUUGGCUCCGGUUUAACUUGGUGUGUAGUCAGAGUUUCAACACACUGCACAUGAACACUACCGUGACAGAAAGAGACACUCCAGCCCACUGCAGGACAAGAGUUUGUUGUCCUUUACACACAAAAAAAAAAUUGUCUUCUGUUGUUUGUCCUUUUGGGUGAGGUCUUGGAUUUUCUGAGUACGCCCCAAGAAAAUGAAUCUCAGGAGAUGAAGAGAGAAGACACUGGAGGGAACUGGUCGUAGGAUUCGAUCUGGUGGGAAAAUGCAAGUCAAUGGAGCCAAGACACAGAGGUCUACCAAGGAUCGGUGAACAUGGUCUUUGGAAGAUUUGAGCUCCAAUCUGUGCACAAGCGACUGUUUAACUUUAAUGGGUGC